AUACGGAGGGUGCAAGCGUUGUCCGGAUUUAUUGGGUUUAAAGGGUGCGUAGGUGGUUUUCUAAGUCUGGUUUGAAAGCUGGUCGCUUAACGAUCAGAUGUGGCUGGAAACUGGAGGACUUGAAUGCGUUGGCGGUAGCCGGAAUGGGUCAUGUAGCGGUGAAAUGCAUAGAUAUGACCCGGAACACCGAUUGCGAAGGCAGGCUACUACGACGUGAUUGACACUGAGGCACGAGAGCAUGGGUAGCGAACAGGAUUAGAUACCCUGGUAGUCCAUGCCGUAAACGAUGAUUACUGGCUGUUUGCCCGAAGGGGUGAGUGGCUGAGCGAAAGCGUUAAGUAAUCCACCUGGGGAGUACGCUGGCAACAGUGAA
rnacentral:rRNA from 1 species